AAUCGAACCCGGAGAUAGCUGGUUCUCCUCGAAAUAGCUUUAGGGCUAGCCUCGAUACAGAUUUGCGGAGGUAGAGCACUGAAUUUCCUAGGGGGCGUCAAAGCCUACCGAAGAAUAUCAAACUCCGAAUGCCGCGUAAUCGAUUAUCGGGAGUCAGACUGCACGAGAUAAGUUGGGCGGUCAAAAGGGAAAGAGCCCAGACCUUCAGUUAAGGUCCCAAAGUGCGCGUUAAGUGGAAAAGGAUGUGGGAUUUCGAAGACAACCAGGAUGUUGGCUCAGAAGCAGCCAUCCAUUCAAAGAGUGCGUAAUAGCUCACUGGUCGAGAGGUCCUGCGCCGAAAAUGUCCGGGGCUGAAACGCGCCACCGAAACUAAGGAACCGAAAGGUUGGUAGAGGAGCAUUGCAUGCGGAACGAAGCAGUACCGUAAGGAGCUGUGGACUGCAUGGAAGAGAGAAUGCCGGAAUGAGUAGCGAGAUAGAGGUGGGAAUCCUCUAGGCCGAAUAUCCAAGGUUUCCAGAGUAAAGCUGAUCUGCUCUGGGUAAGUCGGGGCCUAAGGCGAGGACGAGAGUCGUAGCCGAUGGACAACAGGUGGAGAUUCCUGUACUGCGGUAUGACAGAACUGUGGGGACACGUAAGGAAAGCGGAAGCCGGGAAUGGAAAGCCCGGUGCAAGCGGGGUACCAGUCACUUUGGCAAAUCCGGGUGGCAAUGGGAAGCCGUGAUGCGGAGCGAAAUAAAGUAGCGAAGUCCGUGAGCCAUGCGUCAAGAAAAGCCGCUAUUGUUUAUACCGUACCCGUACCGUAAACCGACACAGGUGGAUGAGGAGAGAAUCCUAAGGCCGGCGGAAGAAGCAUUGUCAAGGAACUCGGCAAAAUGGCCCCGUAACUUAGGGAUAAGGGGUGCCUCAGAAAUGAGGCCGCAGAGAAUAGGCUCAAGCAACUGUUUAGCAAAAACACAGGUCUAUGCGAAACCGAAAGGUGAGGUAUAUGGGCUGACGCCUGCCCGGUGCUGGAAGGUUAAGAGGAGAGGUUAGCGCAAGCGAAGCUUUGAAUUUAAGCCCCAGUAAACGGCGGCCGUAACUAUAACGGUCCUAAGGUAGCGAAAUUCCUUGUCGGGUAAGUUCCGACCCGCACGAAAGGCGUAAUGAUUUGAGCACUGUCUCGACAAUGCAUCCGGUGAAAUUGAAGUACCAGUGAAGAUGCUGGUUACCUGCGCCAGGACGGAAAGACCCCAUGGAGCUUUACUCCAGCUUGAUACUGGGAUUCGAUACUGUAUGUACAGGAUAGGUGGGAGACGUUGAGCAUAGAACGCCAGUUUUAUGUGAGUCGCUGUUGGGAUACCACCCUUGCAGUAUUGGAUUUCUAACCUGCACCCAUGACCUGGGUGGGGGACAAUGUCUGGCGGGGAGUUUGACUGGGGCGGUCGCCUCCGAAAGGGUAUCGGAGGCGCUCAAAGGUUCCCUCAGAAUGGUUGGAAACCAUUCGAAGAGUGCAAAGGCAGAAGGGAGCUUGACUGCGACACCGACGGGUGGAGCAGGUACGAAAGUAGGACUUAGUGAUCCGGUGGUAUAAAGUGGGAUUGCCAUCGCUCAACGGAUAAAAGCUACCCUGGGGAUAACAGGCUUAUCACUCCCAAGAGUUCACAUCGACGGAGUGGUUUGGCACCUCGAUGUCGGCUCAUCGCAUCCUGGGGCUGUAGCAGGUCCCAAGGGUUGGGCUGUUCGCCCAUUAAAGCGGUACGCGAGCUGGGUUCAGAACGUCGUGAGACAGUUCGGUCCCUAUCCGGCGCAGGCGGAGGAUAUUUGAGAGGAGCUGUCCUUAGUACGAGAGGACCGGGAUGGACGGACCACUGGUGUAUCUGUUGGCUAUCGGAGCCAUGGCAGAGUAGCCAAGUCCGGCAGGGAUAAACGCUGAAGGCAUCUAAGCGUGAAGCCCCCCUCAAGAUGAGAUAUCCCUCAGAAAUGAGUAAGACCCCUUGA
rnacentral:rRNA from 1 species